rnacentral:rRNA from 1 species
AUUGAACGCUGGCGGCAUGCCUUACACAUGCAAGUCGAACGGUAACGCGGGGCAACCUGGCGACGAGUGGCGAACGGGUGAGUAAUGCAUCGGAACGUGCCCAGUAGUGGGGGAUAGCCCGGCGAAAGACGGAUUAAUACCGCAUACGACCUACGGGUGGAAGGGGGGGAUCGCAAGACCUCUCGCUCUUGGAGCGGCCGAUGUCAGAUUAGGUAGUUGUGGGGGUAAAGGCCUACCAAGCCGACGAUCUGUAGCUGGGCUGAGAGGACGACCAGCCACACUGGGACUGAGACACGGCCCAGACUCCUACGGGAGGCAGCAGUGGGGAAUUUUGGACAAUGGGCGCAAGCCUGAUCCAGCCAUGCCGCGUGCGGGAAGAAGGCCUUCGGGUUGUAAACCGCUUUUGUCAGGGAAGAAAUCUUCUGGGUUAAUACCUCGGGAGGAUGACGGUACCUGAAGAAUAAGCACCGGCUAACUACGUGCCAGCCGCCGCAGUAAGAC